rnacentral:rRNA from 1 species
GCUNACGGCUGAACUGGCAACUUGGAGAAGUGGCAAGUCUUCCAGUAUGGGGAGCAAAACAGCUAUGGGUCAAGUCCGAUAUCUUUAGGAGAAGUCUUAUUGUGAGGGCGAGUUAUAUAACACCAUAGGACUGGCCGUCCCAUAUGAAAAGAUUAUAUUAGAAUUGAAUGAAGCUUUGUUUAUAUAUUGAUAAUGACAGUAUAUAUAUCGUGUCUUGACUAAUUGCGUGCCAGCAGUCGCGGUAAUACGUAAGAGACUAGUGUUAUUCAUCUUAAUUAGGUUUAAAGGGUACCCAGACGGUCAAUAUAGCUUAUAAAAUGUUAGUACUUGACUAGAGUUUUAUGUAAGAGGGCAGUACUUGAGGAGGAGAGAUGAAAUUUCGUGAUACCAAAGGGACUCUGUAAAGGCGAAGGCAGCCCUCUAUGUAAAAACUGACGUUGAAGGACGAAGGCACAGAGAACAAACAGGAUUAGAUACCCAAGUAGUCUUUGCAGUAAAUGAUGAAUGCCAUAGGUUAGAUUGAUCAAUUAUAGUCUAGGGUUAGUCUAGCAAACUAAUGCCCUAUGAUAUAAUUCAAAAUAUCUGGUCUAUAAAUGAAAGUGUAAGCAUUUCACCUCAAGAGUAAUGUGGCAACGCAGGAACUGAAAUCACUAGACCGUUUCUGACACCAGUAGUGAAGUAU